rnacentral:misc_RNA from 1 species
UUUCCGUAGGUGAACCUGCGGAAGGAUCAUUAUUGAAUACCACUCGAGUCGUUCACGCGACUCGAUACCAUUCAUUACACUCGUGAACUGUUACUUUUUAAACGAGAUCAGAGUCGAGGAUGUAGAAACUAUUACAAGUUGAUAUAAUCAAAUACAACUUUCAGCAACGGAUCUCUUGGCUCUC